rnacentral:rRNA from 1 species
CUGGCUCAGGACGAACGCUGGCGGCGUGCUUAACACAUGCAAGUCGAGCGGAAAGGCCCUUCGGGGUACUCGAGCGGCGAACGGGUGAGUAACACGUGAGCAACCUGCCCUAGGCUUUGGGAUAACCCCGGGAAACCGGGGCUAAUACCGAAUAUGACCUCCGAUCGCAUGGUUGGUGGUGGAAAGUUUUUCGGCCUGGGAUGGGCUCGCGGCCUAUCAGCUUGUUGGUGGGGUGAUGGCCUACCAAGGCGACGACGGGUAGCCGGCCUGAGAGGGCGACCGGCCACACUGGGACUGAGACACGGCCCAGACUCCUACGGGAGGCAGCAGUGGGGAAUAUUGCACAAUGGGCGGAAGCCUGAUGCAGCGACGCCGCGUGAGGGAUGACGGCCUUCGGGUUGUAAACCUCUUUCAGCAGGGACGAAGCGUAAGUGACGGUACCUGCAGAAGAAGCGCCGGCCAACUACGUGCCAGCAGCCGCGGUAAGACGUAGGGCGCGAGCGUUGUCCGGAUUUAUUGGGCGUAAAGAGCUCGUAGGCGGCUUGUCGCGUCGACCGUGAAAACUUGGGGCUCAACCCCAAGCCUGCGGUCGAUACGGGCAGGCUAGAGUUCGGUAGGGGAGACUGGAAUUCCUGGUGUAGCGGUGAAAUGCGCAGAUAUCAGGAGGAACACCGGUGGCGAAGGCGGGUCUCUGGGCCGAUACUGACGCUGAGGAGCGAAAGCGUGGGGAGCGAACAGGAUUAGAUACCCUGGUAGUCCACGCUGUAAACGUUGGGCGCUAGGUGUGGGGGGCCUCUCCGGUUCCCUGUGCCGCAGCUAACGCAUUAAGCGCCCCGCCUGGGGAGUACGGCCGCAAGGCUAAAACUCAAAG